CCAAAACAUUCUGACUAAAGUAUGUCACAAGAAUGGAGUAGAACACACAAGGUAGGCCAUGCCAGAAGUGCAUAAACAACCCAGUAACAGUCCACACAUCUCAAGAAAGCAAAUCAAGCACGGCAGCACAGGCUACUGACCUGUUUGCCCUAUGCUGUAUAGAAUGCAGAAGGCUAUUACUGGCAGAUGAUGCUGUAUGUCAUAUUGGAAGACAAGCAGGUGACUAAACCCUUGAUAUUGUGGUUAA